UCUCUUCCAGUCUUCCCUCUCUUUAUCUCCACCGACAGACAUGCCACUACUCCGCCGCGUCGCCGUCUCCGCCUCCGCGCCACGCGCCGUCGCAGCGAAUGCUCCUCAGCUACCGAAGCAUGGCGACGGCUGCUUCGCUUCACCGCGGGGCCUCGUUGAGCCGACGCAGCCGUCGCUUUCGCCGAGGAGCGCGAUCCGAGUCGACCACCCACGACGAUUGCGGGUUUAGGGGUUUGCCCCCACUGUUGUGCUGUUCGUGGUGACUCGCAGCUUCUCUGAAUUGCGACGUGGCUGCUCUCCUCGUCGGUUAGCUAGUUUUGGCCUGUUUUGAUCUAUUGCGCCCUCACCCUAUGGUUCCGGUAUUUCUCGUCGUAAGGUUCAAUCCGGCCUAGAUUGAAAAUGUUGCUGCCCGUUUUGUUGGCUUCAGAUGUGUUAGGCUGUUGUAUUGGACAAGAAUUGUAACUGUUGUGUGGUACGGUUUGAUAGUACGGGAUGUCUUGCAGUGCGUAUUAUUUGAAACUCUGCAUAUUUUGAUGCUUUAGAUUGUAAACUGUAAACCAUGUGUUAACCUGCAACUAUGAACCUGAACUGAAGAUAGAUGGAGUCCGAUUGACAAAUUGGUUAGGAUGAUUUGAGUGCAGAUAUGUAGUAAUGUGCUUGUGCAAGCACCAUAUGUAUUUCUCCUAAGUGCCCUGGGAAAUGCCUUUUAGUAGGCUUUAAAAUGCUUGCUUCGGCUGGAACUUUUUGCUCAAUGUUUUUAUGUUUUAUAUUUUAGUAAUGCAUUUCUAAAGUAGUCCUAGCAAUCAAAUGUAUAUAGCUACGUAACUUAUUAUUUGUACAUAUUUGUUUUCCAAAGGAGAUAUCUUCUUUAGUGCAUUGUGGAAAUA